UCCUACGGGAGGCAGCAGUAGGGAAUCUUCCGCAAUGGACGAAAGUCUGACGGAGCAACGCCGCGUGAGUGAUGAAGGCUUUCGGGUCGUAAAACUCUGUUGUUAGGGAAGAACAAGUGCUAGUUGAAUAAGCUGGCACCUUGACGGUACCUAACCAGAAAGCCACGGCUAACUACGUGCCAGCAGCCGCGGUAAUACGUAGGUGGCAAGCGUUAUCCGGAAUUAUUGGGCGUAAAGCGCGCGCAGGUGGUUUCUUAAGUCUGAUGUGAAAGCCCACGGCUCAACCGUGGAGGGUCAUUGGAAACUGGGAGACUUGAGUGCAGAAGAGGAAAGUGGAAUUCCAUGUGUAGCGGUGAAAUGCGUAGAGAUAUGGAGGAACACCAGUGGCGAAGGCGACUUUCUGGUCUGUAACUGACACUGAGGCGCGAAAGCGUGGGUAGCGAACGGGAUUAGAUACCCCGGUAGUCCACGCAGUAAACGUUGUACACUCGGUGUGGCGGAUAUUAAAAUCUGCUGUGCCCAAGCUAACGCAUUAAGUGUACCGCCUGGGAAGUACGGUCGCAAGACUAAAACUCAAAUGAA
rnacentral:rRNA from 1 species